UACGAAGGGUGCAAGCGUUACUCGGAAUUACUGGGCGUAAAGCGUGCGUAGGUGGUGGUUUAAGUCUGCUGUGAAAGCCCUGGGCUCAACCUGGGAAUUGCAGUGGAUACUGGGUCACUAGAGUGUGGUAGAGGGUAGUGGAAUUCCCGGUGUAGCAGUGAAAUGCGUAGAGAUCGGGAGGAACACCAGUGGCGAAGGCGACUACCUGGACCAACACUGACACUGAGGCACGAAAGCGUGGGGAGCAAAC
rnacentral:rRNA from 1 species